CCUUUGUACACACCGCCCGUCGCUACUACCGAUUGAAUGGCUUAGUGAGGUCUCUGGAUUGGCGCUGAGGAGCCGGCAACGGCACCUCGUUGCUGAGAAGUUGAUCAAACUUGGUCAUUUAGAGG
rnacentral:rRNA from 1 species